rnacentral:rRNA from 1 species
CAGUAGCCGCGGUAAUACAGAGGGUGCGAGCGUUAAUCGGAUUUACUGGGCGUAAAGCGUGCGUAGGCGGCUUUUUAAGUCGGAUGUGAAAUCCCUGAGCUUAACUUAGGAAUUGCAUUCGAUACUGGGAAGCUAGAGUAUGGGAGAGGAUGGUAGAAUUCCAGGUGUAGCGGUGAAAUGCGUAGAGAUCUGGAGGAAUACCGAUGGCGAAGGCAGCCAUCUGGCCUAAUACUGACGCUGAGGUACGAAAGCAUGGGGAGCAAACAGGAUUAGAUACCCCUGUAGUCCCUGUCUUUUAUAA